UACGUAGGGUGCGAGCGUUAAUCGGAAUUACUGGGCGUAAAGCGUGCGUAGGCGGUUCGUUAAGUCAGCUGUGAAAGCCCCGGGCUCAACCUGGGAACUGCGUUUGUGACUGUAUGACUAGAGUACGGUAGAGAGGGGUGGAAUUCCUGGUGUAGCAGUGAAAUGCGUAGAUAUCAGGAGGAACAUCGAUGGCGAAGGCAGCCCCUUGGACCUGUACUGACGCUCAUGCACGAAAGCGUGGGGAGCAAACAGG
rnacentral:rRNA from 1 species